CAGCAGCCGCGGUAAUACGAAGGGGGCUAGCGUUGUUCGGAAUUACUGGGCGUAAAGCGCACGUAGGCGGAUAUUUAAGUCAGGGGUGAAAUCCCAGAGCUCAACUCUGGAACUGCCUUUGAUACUGGGUAUCUUGAGUAUGGAAGAGGUAAGUGGAAUUCCGAGUGUAGAGGUGAAAUUCGUAGAUAUUCGGAGGAACACCAGUGGCGAAGGCGGCUUACUGGUCCAUUACUGACGCUGAGGUGCGAAAGCGUGGGGAGCAAACAGGAUUAGAUACCCGCGUAGUCCCUGUCUCUUAUAC
rnacentral:rRNA from 1 species